rnacentral:rRNA from 1 species
GGUGCGUAACGCGUAUACAAUCUGCCUUUCACAUAGGGAUAGCCCGAAGAAAUUUGGAUUAAUACCUAAUGGUAUAUAGAUGUGGCAUCACAUUUAUAUUAAAGCUGAGGCGGUGAAAGAUGAGUAUGCGUUCUAUUAGCUAGUUGGAGAGGUAACGGCUCCCCAAGGCUACGAUAGAUAGGGGUUCUGAGAGGGAUAUCCCCCACACUGGUACUGAGAUACGGACCAG